AUCGCUGUCUUACCAGACAAAUUUAGAUCUUAAUCUAUCGCUGUCUAAUACUGUCUGGUAAUGCCGUCGAU
rfam:Ophiophagus hannah scaffold256.1, whole genome shotgun sequence.